GCAGUAAGGGAACCACCAGAAGGCCCUUGGUGCUGGAUCUUAGUGUCCAGGCUGAACAACGAGGGUGGAGAAACACCUUCAGUGGGGAUGGGGAACCUGAGGCCCUCCCCAGAUGUUGAACCGCAUUGCCCAACCUUCCUGAGGGACCAUUGACUAUGCUGGAUGGAGCUGAUGGGAGCUGGAGGACCACAGGUUUCUCAUCACAUCAUUACAGGUUAUACAUUUUCCUCAGCACAGAGAUUCCCAGUCUGGCCCCAUACAUGGUCUGAGGGACGGUGGACCGGCCCACAGCUGAAAAAGGUUGCUGACCCCUGGGUGAAGGUAUUUAGGGAUAUCUUGUGGAGUGGGUUCUAAGGACAAGCAGGACUUGACACUGUUUCUCUACACCUUCAGCCUGCAAUGACUUUCAAACAGUAAAUGCAAUAGGUCUGAAAACCAAUAGAAGAACAAGCCAGGAACCAAAAAGACAUAGAUCAGCAACUGGCAAUCUUCCUGGCAGAUAUAUUGAGAGCACAGUCUUUUGUCCUUCCACGUUCUGUAGAAAUUAAAGGAGUUGAAACAGAUUCACAAAUUUACAACUUUGGACAACAGAAGAGAGAGAAAGCCUAGAAACAAAACAAAACAAAAUGUUAACUGGUUCUUAAGGACUGAAUACUAUUUGUGAGCAGCACAGGGGAUAACAUACGUGGAGGCAAAGAGCCACGCUGCAAAGUAGCAUAUCCACAAUUCCACAUUGGACCCCUGCAGGUGAAAAGAUCACGACACUGGGGAUAUAGUACCUGAACAUUUCAGAACACUGUGUAAAUGAAUAUAGUAGCCAACAUACAAAUGCCUUUUUAACAGAAGCAGCAGUGUGUGUGUUAAGGAACUGUUCCCAUUUCGUAGAAGGGUAAAUGAUAGUUUACCAUUUCCAUUGUAAAGACAUUGAGGAUGAGAGAAAAUGCCACACCCAAAGGCCACUCUGUAGAUUCAUGACACAGAUUCUUACAGUAUGUUCAGAAUUUAAAUAGACAGUCACACAAAGAUGGAUUUCUUCCUGUCAAAACCCUGUGGUUUUUGAACUUAUGAACACACUGUUAUUCUGAGAUGAGUGUGUGAGAGAGACAAAUCAUGGAAAAACUGAAACCAAGUAGAUAUGAGAAACCCGCAAGAAAGAUAAGAGCACAACAACACUGGCCAUUUAUAAGCCAGGAUUUCCAGUGCUGUAGGGACUUUAAAACUCAUUCAGCUGAACACAUGUGGAAGCCCCUUCUAGAUCUUUGCACGCACUUUUAACUUCAGCAUGUUCAGGUAAACACCUAAAGAGGGCUUAUGAUGAAAACUGGCUCAGGAAACAGUCAGUGCAUCACAGGGGCAUUAUCUUCUCUUUUGUCUUUAGCCCCAUUGUUACUCUUCUUGACCUUAUGAAAUAGGCCUCAAAGCAACAUUAAGCAAGGUAAAUGACAUGUUAAGGGCAUUACACUGUAAUUUAUGGUAGAAUGGAAACACUGCAGUGUGUGAUAAAUGCAGGAAGAAGCAGGAAACCAACUAUGUCUUCUUACAUCCUGAGAGUAGAGCUGCGUCCAUUGGCCCAACCCUGCCAUCGCAUCCGCUACUGGCUCAGUCCCACUUCCAUCCACGCAUGGGAGGGAAAGUCUGUAAAAGGAACCCUUGUGUGGCACAUAUAGGCAUGAUCUGACUUCCAAAUCAUGGAGAGAGCCUUUUGUACAUGACAAGAUUCCCUUCACACCCAUGCUCAGAAAUGGAGACAAAACGCUUAAGACCCAACUGCCGUGUGUUCAGCCUGUUCAGUUACUCAUUUGUCUGAGCACCUGGUAUUAGCAUCACUGCAUAUACCGAAGCCAAAAAGAGAAAUCAUGCCCUUUCCUGUUUUUAAUGAUUUCUAAAUAAAACAGUUCCUAACAUAGACAUUUCCAGCACGAUCAUUAAUUAAGCAUGGACAGAGGCAACACAUCAGAAUUCACAGCUUGUCUUGAUCUCACCAUCACAGACUGAUCCUCAUUAAGACUUAUUUGUACUGUAAAUAUACUUUUAAAUUAUGCCCGAAGUUGGAAGGUACAGGCACCUCCAUCUGGUCUAGAGUGCCUUGUGUGUAACAUCGCAUCAGAAAUAUCUAGCAUCCCUUCAUCCUAUGGAUAUAGUUAUCUUAGGUGCAACUGUACUAUUCAUGAUGAUGUUCCCAAGAACAGACACAGUUGCUUAUAGCCUAGUAUAUCAUUUCAACCUUUGUGGUUUAGACUAGAUACUAACAUGCCUAUUGGCCAAUCUCUUAUGACAAUGUGGACAUCAGCUUGGAAUGCUAAAACCUGGGGUCAAACCAUGGGCUCAGUCAUUAGAUUGCCACAUGGCCCUUGCUAUCUCACAAUCUAUCAGCCAGAGAAGGAGUUACUGCAGGGGCCUGACUUCCUCACAUCCCAUGUGAAAGAACACUCUUCUGCAACUCCCUAUUAACUAAGGAUGCAGAGCUGAGGGAAGACAGGCUUUGGGCCACUAGGAGGCUGCACCUCCUGCCUCCCUAGAAGAACAUAAUGGAAGGAGGGGGGGGGACCAGCCUGUUCCUCUGUCUGAAGAUGUCUUCUGCUUGGGGGCAGUCUGGUCCGAGUCUGGUUGAAAGAUAAGGAAGCAUAAAAAGGAGAGCAAGGGCUUUGAAGUUGCCCAUCAACAAUUAGCAGGACCUGGUCAACAGAGUGAGCAGGCACACAAAUCACCUGGUGGCUUCCUCACUACUGUGAGAUACAUUGUGUUUUUAUUUAAACUACGGCAAUGAUUUCUAAGUUUUUGUGCAUGCCUAUAAAAUAACACCUGCACAUCUUAAGCAAAUUGGUGUCCCCUGUUUUUUGGUGAUGCAAAUCCUCAUUCUCAGCAAUGCAUAACUGCCCCCCCUAUCCUGGCUCAGUUGAACAGCCACUGAAGGAGCAGCUGCCCCAAUGCUUGCUUUCCUCUUCCCAUCCACUGACCAUCUUUGUUUGGGGUCUACCAGAUUAUGAACCUACCGGAAGGGGCUGUUUUAUCUUUAUAACCUAUGUGUAUAUCCUUUUGAAAACGUUAGAUGCUGUAUCAGUGUUAAAUUAUUAUUCUCAGAGUUAGGUUUCAGCCUCCAUUUUCUGUUAAAUUGAAAUACUUAUGAC